rnacentral:rRNA from 1 species
GACGGACGCUGGCGGUGUGCUUAACACAUGCAAGUCGAACGGUAAGGCCCUUUCGGGGGUACACGAGUGGCGAACGGGUGUGUAACACGUGAGUAACCUGCCCUCAUCUCUGGGAUAACAGUCGGAAACGGUUGCUAAUACUGGAUAUGAGCCUGCAAGGCAUCUUGUGGGUUGGAAAGAUUUUUUGGUUGGGGAUGGACUCGCGGCCUAUCAGCUUGUUGGUGAGGUAGUGGCUCACCAAGGCUUCGACGGGUAGCCGGCCUGAGAGGGCGACCGGCCACAUUGGGACUGAGAUACGGCCCAAACUCCUACGGGAGGCAGCAGUGGGGAAUAUUGCACAAUGGACGGAAGUCUGAUGCAGCAACGCCGCGUGCGGGAUGACGGCCUUCGGGUUGUAAACCGCUUUCAAUUGUGACGAAGCUUUUUGUGACGGUAGCAGUAGAAGAAGCACCGGCUAACUACGUG